GACGAACGCUGGCGGCGUGCUUAACACAUGCAAGUCGAACGGAAAGGCCCUGCUUUUGUGGGGUGCUCGAGUGGCGAAAGGGUGAGUAACACGUGAGUAACCUGCCCUUGACUUUGGGAUAACUUCAGGAAACUGGGGCUAAUACCGGAUAGGAGCUCCUGCUGCAUGGUGGGGGUUGGAAAGUUUCGGCGGUUGGGGAUGGACUCGCGGCUUAUCAGCUUGUUGGUGGGGUAGUGGCUUACCAAGGCUUUGACGGGUAGCCGGCCUGAGAGGGUGACCGGCCACAUUGGGACUGAGAUACGGCGCAGACUCCUACGGGAGGCAGCAGUGGGGAAUAUUGCACAAUGGGCGGAAGCCUGAUGCAGCCACGCCGCGUGCGGGAUGACGGCCUUCGGGUUGUAAACCGCUUUCGCCUGUGACGAAGCGUGAGUGACGGUAAUGGGUAAAGAAGCACCGGCUAACUACGUG
rnacentral:rRNA from 1 species